UGGCGGACGGGUGAGUAAUGUCUGGGAAACUGCCUGAUGGAGGGGGAUAACUACUGGAAACGGUAGCUAAUACCGCAUAACGUCGCAAGACCAAAGAGGGGGACCUUAGGGCCUCUUGCCAUCGGAUGUGCCCAGAUGGGAUUAGCUAGUAGGUGGGGUAACGGCUCACCUAGGCGACGAUCUCUAGCCGGUCUGAGAGGAUGACCAGCCACACUGGGACUGAGACACGGCCCAG
rnacentral:rRNA from 1 species